rnacentral:rRNA from 1 species
GUUCCCUACGGGAGGCAGCAGUGAGGAAUAUUGGUCAAUGGUCGGGAGACUGAACCAGCCAAGCCGCGUGAGGGAGGAAGGUACAGAGUAUCGUAAACCUCUUUUGUCAGGGAACAAAGGCGGUGACGUGUCCCCGGAUGAGUGUACCUGAAGAAAAAGCAUCGGCUAACUCCGUGCCAGCAGCCGCGGUAAUACGGAGGAUGCGAGCGUUAUCCGGAUUUAUUGGGUUUAAAGGGUGCGCAGGCGGUCUGUUAAGUCAGCGGUCAAAGCCCGGGGCUCAACCCCGGCCCGGCGGUGCAACUGGG